CCCUACAAACGGGAAAUAAGAUGGCGGCGGCAGGUCCGAGUACUCGGGCCUCUUCCGCGGCGGCAGCGGCAGCUCUGAAUCGGCGGGGUCGGCGGGGCCGCUGUGACGAGAUGGCGGCAGCCAAGACUGGGACCCCGGGCCCGGCCUCUGGCCCCGCGCUGCUGGUGUUGGCGCCGCCGUUGCUGCAGCCGCCGCCACCGCCGCGGUCGGAGGAGUCGGACUGCGCUGGGUGCCUGGAGACCCCGGGGGAAGCGGCGGCCCUGCCGUGCGGCCACUCGCUGUGCCGAGGCUGCGCCCAACGCGCCGCCGACGCGGCGGGCCCGGGUUGCCCGCGCUGCCGCGUCCGCGGUCCGGGCUGGGCCCGCCGUCGGGCCCGCGACAACUGGCAGCCCGACGCGGAGGUGCUGGGCGAGCGCGCCCGCCGCGGCCCACCCGAGCGCUGCCGCCCGCGUCGUGACGGGGGCGCGGCCGCCGCGGGGCCCAGGCCCGAGCAGGAGACGCGCGCCGCGCCCGCGGAGCCAGAGUUUAUAUUCAGAGCACCAAUCAAAUUAAGCAAGCCUGGGGAACUUCGUGAGGAAUAUGAAAGCCUGCGAAAGCUGAGAGAAGAAAAGUUACAAGAGGAGAAAACCUCUGAAGAUCAAAUCCACAGGCUGUUACCAGAGGAUACAGAAAUGGGAAAAAGGAAAAUGGAUGAACAGAAAAAAAGAGAUGAGCCAUUAGUACUGAAGACAAAUCUAGAGCGCUGUCCUGCACGUCUCUCAGAUUCAGAGAAUGAAGAACCUUCUCGAGGCAAGAUGAUACAGACACACCGCUCGGCAUUUGUUUCCAAGAACAACUCCUACUCCUUAUCUUUCCUGGCAGGGAACCUAAAUUCCAAGAUGGAAAGGAGUCAGAGCUGCAGUGACACUGGUCAGGACAGAGUGAAGGGCAGACUGAGAGCAGCCCCAACCAGCAAAGCCAAGGUCACAACCAUGACCCCAGCCUCCAACCCUAUCAUUGGCGUCCUCUUGUCCACCCAAAACAACCGCUGCCUCUCGGCCCCUGACUUAACCAUUGAAAAGCGUCUGCCCUUCAGCUCCCUCUCAUCCUUGGCUUCCUUGCAUAAGCCAGAGCGCUCCAUCAGCCCUGAGAGCAACGACAGCAUCUCCGAAGAACUAAACCAUUUCAAGCCCAUUGUCUGCUCACCGUGUACUCCUCCCAAGAGGCUCCCUGAUGGCCGUGUACUGAGUCCCCUCAUCAUCAAAUCAACACCCCGCAACCUAAACAGAAGCCUGCAGAAGCAGACUUCUUAUGAGGCCAGUCCACGGAUCCUCAAAAAGUGGGAACAGAUCUUUCAGGAGCGGCAGAUCAAAAAGACCCUUUCGAAAGCCACCCUCACCUCCCUGGCUCCAGAAACAGGGGAAGACUUACUCGUCACUGAAGUUACCCAUUCUAGCAAGGAGAAGCCACUUCUGGCUUUAAAUACAAGACUGUCCAGUGGGCAAGUACUCUCUGAGUAUACAGGACCUACCCCCACUGACCUUGAUUAUUUCCCCUCUGUUAGCCAGACAAAAGCAGAACAGGGCGGUGACAGUAAAAGGAGCACUGAGAUCCCAUUAGAAACCUGCUGUUCUUCAGAACUCAGACUGGGAGCCAGUGGGACUUCUUUGGAGAGAGAGCAGUUUGAAGGGUCAGGGUCAUCCCCAGAUGCCAAGUUAGAUAAAACCUGUAUAACAACAACUAUGAGAAUCUCAGCAGUUAAUUCAGUGCUACCUAAAAACAGUGUGUUGGGCGGGGUCCUCAAAACAAAGAAACAGCUGAAGACAGUGAAUCAUUUUGAGCUGCCUAACGGUGUUCUGGCAGACAACCUAGGUGAGGAGCCACUUCCUUCCUUGCGUCGGGGCAGGAAAAGACGCUGUAAGACCAAGCACUUGGAACAAAAUGGCUCCCUUAAGAAACUGCGACAAAGCAGUGGUGAGGUGGGUCUGGCCCCAGCAGACCCAGUACUGCGAGAGAUGGAGCAGAAAUUGCAGCAAGAGGAAGAGGACCGGCAGCUCGCUCUGCACUUGCAGCGCAUGUUUGACAGUGAGAGGCGGACUGUGAGUCGGCGGAAAGGAAGCGUGGAUCAGUACCUCUUGCGGUCCAGUAGCAUGGCUGGGGCCAAGUAGCACACGCUGAACAGUGUUGCCUAUUUUUCAGAGGUCUUUGGGCUUGAUCAUUCACCCCGAAGAAAUGAGUGUUCUCACUUUGGGUGUCUUUUAAUGGCAAAACACUGUCUAGCAUGAUUCUGAGAGGUCUCGGGCCUUCGUAGUAUAUAUAUCCAAGGGAGCUGCAUCUCUGCCUCCCUGUGACCCAGGCCAGAAGCGCUCCUCACCCCCUAAGUGACCCACCCCUUAGGGCGUCUGGGCCAAAGCUGGCAGCACCUGCUUGGAAUGAGAUUCAGGAGCACAAUGGCCAGGGUUAGAAAUGGUAGAGGAAAAGGGGAUACCUUCUCAAACUGAUAGACCUCCUGACUUCUUUCAACAGGUGUUGUUUUAUAUCAGCCGUGCAGAUAAAAAUUAGUUCCAUCUUUUUUUAAAGAAGUGGAACAGUGUAGUUCUUUGGCAGAUCCAAAAAGAUUAUGUUCCCCCUUCUUACCCUUGCCACAAGUAAAUAUUCCUAAUUAAAUCAGUUUUUAUGCUUCUACAAAAGUUAAUUUACAUUCCUUGUUUAAAAAAUAACAUUUGAUUAAUGCUAUAUAGUUGACAGGCCACAUUCGUAGUCAUUGUUUAAUUUGGUCUUUUCAGGAGACCUAACAUGUAAGUGGUAUUAGUCCCAUUUUUAGAUGAUGAAACUGCAGUGCAGAUGUUCAGGUUCUCUCAACUACUAAGGGCAUAGCCCAGACUGACUGCUGGGUCUCCCAACAACAAAUCCCAUGGAUUUUCCACACUUAAGAGGUUGCCAUAAUGGACAGCGAUCCAAGGACGUACCAGGGGAGCCUAGAGAAAGCUAGCUGGGCUUUGAAUGUUGAUUGUGCAAAAUCCACAUGCAGAUAAUUGAGACUGACUGGAAGUGUAAACAUAUACUGUGCAAUUAUCCCCAUCCCUACAGUGUAUAGCCUUCUGUUUUCCCGGGGUUCCACUCUGUUAGAUAAACUACGAUUGGACUUCAUUGUUACUCUCCAUAUGGCCAAGAGUUAUCUGCAGUGUUGAUCUAAAAUCCAAAAAAUUUGCCCAGAAGUCAGGCAAGAACAAUACUGAAACUCCCUACUGUGGAAACAAGGAAUCUAGCUGGAUGCAGCUGGUAAAUUCAGUCCCAUGGACCUUUGGGGUUUAUUUUCCUUAGCAGCUGACACCAUGUGUCUUUUGCAUCUCUGGUGGUGCUUGGUGCUUCUGCCCAUCUGGGCUCAUUGAGAGUAGGGAUUAAGAUACGAUUUUAGGGAAUCUGAGGUGGCCUGGCAUUCCCUGUGCAUGUACGAGCUGUUACUAUAAAGUCAUGUGACUGGCAUUUUAACAAACCUUUCAGAUCUUAUAUAUCCCAAUGUAUGUUGUUCCCCUCAGGUGGCCUCAGCAGGAUGCUGCAUAGUUUUCCCAAUGAUGUUGCCAUUGGUGAAAACAUCUCUGGAACUGUCCUCAAAGUCUAGAGACAUCUAGACAUCUAAUGUUCGAACUGCAAAGGACGUUAAUGGUCAUCUAUUCCAACUUCCUCCUCUUACUAAGGCAGAAGCUAAGAUCCAGAACAACGACUCACUUAUCAAGAUCACAAAGGAUUUACUAUAUCACCUACUUUUGCUUCUUCUCAGGAGAUUUGCCUCCCUUCUUCUCGGCAAAUCUUUAAUCUUUGGGGUUAUAGGAAAGAGAAUUUUAGUUUGAAACUAGUCAGAAGCUAUUUGAAGCUUCUGGAAGAGAAGAUAUUUCCUGAGCUUCGAACUUGUGCCAACCCUGUGCAAAGUCAUGGCUAUAAAGAUGGAAAGGACAGCCCUGCUCUUGAUGAGCUCAGUGUCUACUGGAAUGUAUUUGAAUGCAUGUGUGGCUGGAGAGCUCGUUAAUGGUUUCAUGAAAGACCAUAGUGAUGAUCUUGGAUGGCCCAUUGAAGGUACUGUCCAGCACCCUUGAACAUUUUAGAUACCCCCAUCAGUAUUUGUGAAUUUGAUUGCAAUACUGCUCUCCAUUUCUUAAGUAAUUUUACCAGUGGAGAAUGAUUUUUCUCCUCCAGUGAUUAUAGGACAAUCGCAUCUCUUUAGGAGCUGCUUUUAGCGUAAAGCCCCAAGAAAUGAGGAAGGUUGUGGGUCACUGACAUGGUCAGAGGAGGCUCACUCUCAACUUAGUAACCUACUAACCUCUUCCCCAACCAGACCUCUCACCAGAGCUGGCAGCAACUUGGGAUUCCUUUCCUUUUUCCUGCAUGGCUUUCCAUUGAGAUGGAAGGCGAGCAGGUGAGGAAGGGAAGAAAAAUGAAGGCUGGAUCAUAAUCAUAAAAUGUUAGGUAGCUGGAAUGGGCAUGGAAAUUAUCCAAGUCAAACUAUACCCCCUGAUGCCCUUCUUCUUUUUUUUUAAGAAAUGAGGAACUUGAGGUUCAGUGCCCUGUGUCAUAUUUGUACUGUAGUUGUCUAGGGUCUGAAUGAAUAGUCCUCUAAGUUACACACACACAAUCUGCUAAUGAGGGGGACACCCAAAUGAUUGUUUUAAGUUUUUUCUUCCUGCUUUUUACAGUUAGAAUUAAAAUGUACCCAGAUCCCCUGAAUACACACCCAGGCAGGGAAAACCCCCAUAAUGAGAGUAAUGUGAAUGUGAAAUCUUGGGAAGUGAUAUAUUUUGAUUGGAAUAGCCGUCAUUUAAACUACCAAGGAUUAGAACCCAACCAACCCUUCACUUUUCUUUGAAAAUCAGGAACUCCUUAGGGACUUAAUUUUUCUCAGCCAGCCUUUUCCUUAUCAACCCAGAUUGGUUCCUUUGACUUGCCUUUUAGAAGUGAGUAUAGCUGUUUAUAAAUUCUUGUGACUCAAUGAGAAAGCAGGUCUUUUUUUUUUUUUUUGAGGGUUGGGGGUGGGAUUCUAGGAAAAGAGGAUGCUGAAUAGACUUUCCUCUAAAGAUGAUCCAGAAAUGCAUCUUUACACGUUAUCCACAGUGAAUAUAUACAGAAGUCACCCGUUUAGAAAUUGGUUAAAUUGGAUGAAGGAAAAGUACCAAGACUGAAUGUGCACAUUGUUCUAUGUAUUAUCAGUAUUUUUUUUCCUAAGAGAAAUAUUUACACAUUUUGCUUUGUGAGAAAAUGCUUCCUUAAUGCCUUGUUUCAGUAAUUGUGGGAGGCAACCUCAAACUGGGGGCAGGCUCUCUUUCUACGUUUUCUGGUGUCUUAAGUCAAGAACUAGUUGGACAAAGCCAGGGUAAGGCCAGGCUUGUUCUUCUUCCUUUCCUCUCAUUUAAUAAGGGGUAGAAACAGGGAAUGUACUCCUCAAAGAUCAAGCCAUGAGAGCUCAGGAGCAGCUUUCGGGACCGGCUCCAGACGGCGGCAGCAGAUUCUCCCUUGUUGGCCCUGCCCCCUCUCCAAGCUGUGCCACCAGUAGGAGCAGGGCUUUCCCUCAGUGGGUUCAACCCUUAACCUCCAGCAGAACCUUCGAGUCCUAAUGAGAAUGGGUAACUAUGUAAAGGAAAAAUGAUUAUCUUAAAUGCCAACUAAUGGAUUUUUUUGUCUGUGUGUGACUGAUGUACUAUUUACUCUUAGUUCUUCGUAUAAACAGCUGUCCUUAGGGCCUUAUCCCCUCCAACCUAGAAGUAGAAAAUGGUUUGGAGUUUGGUUUCAUUCAACCUGCUGUCUGCAUUAGAUUGCAGAAGGGGCCCAGACCCUUGGCACUGCCAUUGCUGGCUGCCUCCUCUCCAGCUCAUUACAAGGAGCUUUUUGACAAAGACAGAGGACUCAGAACAGGUGUGCCCUGUCAGGGAUACUUCUGCUAAGGGAUCAAAUGGGAUGAUGUGCUGUUUAAACAACACCAAAGUGCAUUCUUCAGUGUAGGCUUGCCAGGUUGAGGAGAGGCCCAAGUUGAGAAUACAGUAAAGCAAACUCAUGAAUGUUCUGUUUCUAGUCAGUCGUAUCUCUGGAGAGCAAUCUCAGGCCAAUCUGAGCUGAGCUUAAACUAUGUGUGUUUGAGUUUUGGUGCUAUCUUUGCUCUGGGAGAUGCCCUGUGUUGGAAUGUCUUGCUUCGGCAUUCAGAAUGAUGGGAGAACCAAUUUAUUCAGAUGGUAUCCCAUGUGGAAUAACUGAGAAAGUUAAGAGCGUCUGGCCUAGAUAGGUAUAGCCUCUUCAGGAUAGUCUCGUAUCGGUAAAGGGCCAGCCUGGCAGAGAGAGCAGAUAUACUCUGGGCAGAGAGAGCAGAUAUACUCUGGGCCCAAAAGCAGAGUUAGGACUACUGAGGGACUUAGGCAGAUGCUUAGUCCAAUGGCUAGAGCCAUCCAAUAGUUUUCCCAACAAAGGAAGGGACAGCCUUUGUAGGGAAUGAGCGCCCUGUCACUAGAUGUGCAAGCAGGAGCUGAAUGAUCUGUUGGGGAGAUUGCAAGAGGCUUCAUGCCUUGAGGCUGGGAUAGGAUGUUCCCAGGAGCCUUUCAGGCCUGAGAGCUUAUGGUUUGAUAGUGUUUCUGGCGGAAGGGAGCAUUCCAAAUCUCCCGAACUUAAACCUAGCGAGGUUUACAGUGUGAAUGUUGGGGUGGGUUCUCCUUCCUAACAUUAGUGGAAGGAUGAUUUUGGGCCUAGGAGAUCCAACGUGGUAAGUCAGCAACAUGCCCCAGCACAUGAGUGCCGCUGAGGGUAGCACUGUGUUUAUUACCUGAAUCUGUCCAGGUGCCUGUGCGAAUGAGUGAGACGUAACUGACUUUGUAACUUGAUAUGUGUAUGGGACUGUAUGUGAUCGUGUAUGUGACUGUCUGAACUUGAAUAUGUGUCUGGUAUGACCACAGCUUGGUGUAAAUAUGUAACUGGCCACAUGUAUGUGACUGUGGUUGGUUGAGUGUGAUAAUAUGCGAACACUUGUGUCCUAAUAGUCUCGCACUUGAAAUACAGCAGAUACUGCACCACA